rnacentral:rRNA from 1 species
ACUCGAGUGGCGAACGGGUGAGUAACACGUGGGUGAUCUGCCCUGCACUUCGGGAUAAGCUUGGGAAACUGGGUCUAAUACCGGAUAGGAGCCAUUUUUAGUGUGAUGGUUGGAAAGUUUUUCGGUGUAGGAUGAGCUCGCGGCCUAUCAGCUUGUUGGUGGGGUAAUGGCCUACCAAGGCGGCGACGGGUAGCCGGCCUGAGAGGGUGGACGGCCACAUUGGGACUGAGAUACGGCCCAG